UACGGAGGGGGCUAGCGUUGUUCGGAAUUACUGGGCGUAAAGCGCGCGUAGGCGGACCUGCAAGUCGGGGGUGAAAGCCCGAGGCUCAACCUCGGAACUGCCUCCGAUACUGCGGGUCUCGAGUCCGGGAGAGGUGAGUGGAAUUCCUAGUGUAGAGGUGAAAUUCGUAGAUAUUAGGAAGAACACCAGUGGCGAAGGCGGGUCUCUGGGCCGAAACUGACGCUGAGGAGCGAAAGCGUGGGGAGCGAACAGG
rnacentral:rRNA from 1 species